rnacentral:rRNA from 1 species
CAGGCUUAACACAUGCAAGUCGAGGGGUAGCAUGGUCUUAGCUUGCUAAGGCCGAUGGCGACCGGCGCACGGGUGAGUAACACGUAUCCAACCUGCCGUCUACUCUUGGACAGCCUUCUGAAAGGAAGAUUAAUACAAGAUGGCAUCAUGAGUCCGCAUGUUCACAUGAUUAAAGGUAUUCCGGUAGACGAUGGGGAUGCGUUCCAUUAGAUAGUAGGCGGGGUAACGGCCCACCUAGUCUUCGAUGGAUAGGGGUUCUGAGAGGAAGGUCCCCCACAUUGGAACUGAGACACGGUCCAAACUCCUACGGGAGGCAGCAGUGAGGAAUAUUGGUCAAUGGGCGAGAGCCUGAACCAGCCAAGUAGCGUGAAGGAUGACUGCCCUAUGGGUUGUAAACUUCUUUUAUAAAGGAAUAAAGUCGGGUAUGGAUACCCGUUUGCAUGUACUUUAUGAAUAAGGAUCGGCUAACUCCGUGCCAGCAGCCGCGGUAAUACGGAGGAUCCGAGCGUUAUCCGGAUUUAUUGGGUUUAAAGGGAGCGUAGAUGGAUGUUUAAGUCAGUUGUGAAAGUUUGCGGCUCAACCGUAAAAUUGCAGUUGAUACUGGAUAUCUUGAGUGCAGUUGAGGCAGGCGGAAUUCGUGGUGUAGCGGUGAAAUGCUUAGAUAUCACGAAGAACUCCGAUUGCGAAGGCAGCCUGCUAAGCUGCAACUGACAUUGAGGCUCGAAAGUGUGGGUAUCAAACAGGAUUAGAUACCCUGGUAGUCCACACGGUAAACGAUGAAUACUCGCUGUUUGCGAUAUACUGCAAGCGGCCAAGCGAAAGCGUUAAGUAUUCCACCUGGGGAGUACGCCGGCAACGGUGAAACUCAAAGGAAUUGACGGGGGCCCGCACAAGCGGAGGAACAUGUGGUUUAAUUCGAUGAUACGCGAGGAACCUUACCCGGGCUUAAAUUGCAGAUGAAUUACGGUGAAAGCCGUAAGCCGCAAGGCAUCUGUGAAGGUGCUGCAUGGUUGUCGUCAGCUCGUGCCGUGAGGUGUCGGCUUAAGUGCCAUAACGAGCGCAACCCUUGUUGUCAGUUACUAACAGGUUCCGCUGAGGACUCUGACAAGACUGCCAUCGUAAGAUGUGAGGAAGGUGGGGAUGACGUCAAAUCAGCACGGCCCUUACGUCCGGGGCUACACACGUGUUACAAUGGGGGGUACAGAGGGCCGCUACCACGCGAGUGGACGCCAAUCCCCAAAACCUCUCUCAGUUCGGACUGGAGUCUGCAACCCGACUCCACGAAGCUGGAUUCGCUAGUAAUCGCGCAUCAGCCACGGCGCGGUGAAUACGUUCCCGGGCCUUGUACACACCGCCCGUCAAGCCAUGGGAGCCGGGGGUACCUGAAGUGCGUAACCGCGAGGAGCGCCCUAGGGUAAAACUGGUGAC